CAGUAGCCGCGGGAAUACAGAGGGUGCGAGCGUUAAUCGGAUUUACUGGGCGUAAAGCGUGCGUAGGCGGCUUCUUAAGUCGGAUGUGAAAUCCCUGAGCUUAACUUAGGAAUUGCAUUCGAUACUGGGAAGCUAGAGUAUGGGAGAGGAUGGUAGAAUUCCAGGUGUAGCGGUGAAAUGCGUAGAGAUCUGUAGGAAUACCGAUGGCGAAGGCAGCCAUCUGGCCUAAUACUGACGCUGAGGUACGAAAGCAUGGGGAGCAAACAGGAUUAGAUACCCGUGUAGUCCCUGUCUCUUAUAC
rnacentral:rRNA from 1 species